CUGGCUCUGGUGAAUUCUCUCACCCUCCCGCGCUUCUGACUGUGCCCAGUGCUUGCAUAAAUAAAUAAAAAAAUAAACCUUAAAAAAAAAUUAGUUAUUAAACACUUUGGCCCACUUCACAAUGGGAGACAAUUUAUUGUACAUGCCUGACAAGCAAUCCAGCACAACAAUUAUAGUAAGUCCUUCCUUUGCUUUUUAGGAAUUUCUUGGGAAAGUUUUUAAAUGAAGCUAUUUGAGUUAAGGAGUUUCUAGGUAGAAAAAGUUCUGAUAGCUGAAUAGCAGCCGGUCCCCAGCUGAAGGCCAUGUGAAUAAGAAAAGUCUUUUCACGCUCAGGCUUUAGCUGAUAGGGAUGCACUGGUGGCUAUCCACUGUCUUAGGUAAUUGUCUAGCUGAAACAAUGAGUUUUAGUGUAAGUCUUAGUUUUUUAUCUAUUAACCUUGAAGGUUGCCUUCUUGCUGAGAGCACACAGCAGCCAAAAGUCUAUGGGGAAAGGGAUGCACUGAUUGUUUCUGCUUUGUUUCUAUGCAUAUGAUGAUGUAAUCUCUCGGCUUGCUAAAAUAUAAAUAAAGAACCUGCUGAGCCCCUCAGUAGGAGAUACUUGCACCCAAAAGAAGAGUGCGUGUCUGCUUCAUUCCCUUCCCUUCAGCCCUUAACGUGUUGCCUAGGCCGUCUCAUCCUUUCAGGAACCCCUGACACAACAUUUUGCCGAGGCUGGUCUGCGGCAAGUGGCGCCUGAACAGGGACUUGAAAGAUACUUUCUCUCAGACUUGAGGAGAUGCAUACCUGCUUUCCUGAGCCACCUGUCCAGGACCCCACAGCUCUUCAUACUGGACACGGUGGUCUCUGUCCACAUCCCUGACUCGCGGUCAUGGCUUUGCAUCAAUCUGUGAUCCUUAAAUCUGCCCCAAGCCCUGACCUCCACCCACCUUUCCCCACACACCACUUGGAACAUAACCCUGGAAACUCCCUGGUCCAAGGUGGCCCCAGAAUCUGUCCUGUCCACAGAUUUUCUGUCCCCCUGGACUGGUCCCUGGAUCCCCUCCUUGGUUUCCCUGCUCCUCCAUUCAGGCACCACAGACAUUUCCCUGGAAGCUGGGAAAGGCUCCUCCUCCGUGUCCUGGCAUCUCACCAGCCUGAGACCCGCCCUCCAGGCAGGGGCCUGACUGAGUGUUCAGACUUGUGAAAAGGAGUAGGGGCAGGAUGAGAGAUGCUGGGCAUGGGUAAGGGUGACUAAACCACAUCUCUCCCCUCCAACUGUGGGUGCAGGUCACUGUAGAGUAAAUGCUUUUCAGGCUUUUCUGCCCUCCCACCAUUAGCAUUGCCCUGCCUGAUGGGGCACCUGCAGUUGUUACAUUAUUGCAAACUAUCUUGUUUACUUCUGUGGGCCAUGGCAGGGGUAUUGAGAUAAUCACCAAGAGAAGCAGAAGCAGGAAAGAGAAGGGGAAAAAGAAGCCAGAGUAGCCCAGAGUGAAGACUUGCCGGGGGCUUAAAGGCCUCAUGGCCUUCUUACCCCUUGGCACUCCUGCCAGCCAAGUACCUGGUUGCUGCAAUGCAUGUAAAGCUCAAUAAAAAACUGAGAAACCACUGAGGGCUCCAGGACUCUUCUUUACCCAUCUGCUGGAUCAUAGAAACCUGCUCAGUGCCCAUCCUGCCCCCACAAUUGGCGUAAGUCGCCAGGAUGUUACGAUGCAGACGGGUAUGGAGCCCUCUGAAGACCUCAGGAGGAACUGAGGAGGAGCAGACUGUGUUUGCCUGUGACAACAGUGGACGUGCCAUGGCAGCACAGGCGGUGACCAGAGUCCAGGAGCUGCGGGAAGAGCUGAAGAUGCUACAGGAGCACAGGAGGUGGACAAGAUCUGGGUGCUGCGGGACGAGACCUCACCUGGAGGAGGCGAUGGCCUGUGAGGACCAGCCCACGACCCCUGAGGUGGCAGAAUUAUUGGGGAAGAAAGGACUAUGGUUCGGAGCUCGCCCAGUGCUGAUGCAGGAAAAGACUGAUGGACUUGGACUGACAAUCCUACCAGAAGGUGGAGGAACUUUGGCAGGGUAAUGUUCUGUUUUGGGGACCCUGGGGGAUGAUGGUAUUGUUUAUACACCCCAGGAGAUGGGAAUUUGGGGGUGGCCAGUGGGCCUCAGUGGCCAAAAGCAGUCUGUGUACUGCCCAGCAGCCAGGCAGAGGAAAAAAAGCCAACUUAGAAAGGCAAAAGCUGGUGCUGAGAUUGGGAAGCCCUGAGUAGCUGCUAAGCAGCCUAAAUAUAUUAAAGAAAACCAGUGUGGGUGAUGCCUUGCUCACUGCUAAGUGAGGAUGAGGAGUUGAGGACCCUGUCCUUGCGGGACAGGUGGGGAACAUUGCUUGUGGUGGAGCCCACAGCCAAAGAGGGGACCCAAGAGAGGUCGCAUGUGGAGCUUGCAUCCACAGAUCCCCAACCUAUGUGCUUGUGUAAUGGGUUGGCCUGAGUGCAGGGGUCUGCGUGUCGCAUUGGUGGCCAUGAAAGCCCAGUGUUGAAGCGACUGUAGACAGAAACCCUGAAGAUUGGGCAAUUACCCCCAAAGAGUAUAGAAUCACCAAUCCAAGAGUGAGUGCAUCCUGGGGGUGGAUGCUGUGUGUGGCUUGUGGGCAAGACCACAGCUGGAUAGUCCUUCCCUCGUAUGGGCAGUGCCUUUGGCAGCGGAAGUGGUGGAUCAUCUGCUGGUGCCAAUAAUCGUCUUUUGCCACUAGGUUGGUGCCCUGCCUGGAAUUAUUUAUGUUCUGUUGUAUUGUUUCAUUAUUCAGUUGUAUUUUCUUUUGUGGGCCAUGGCUGCUGUGUUUGUUAAAGGAAUCUUAUAUAUACUUGUAUAUAGAUUGUAUGGCAGAAAACCCUAAGGGGGUGGAUUGUAGGGUAAAUGGUUUUCAGGCUUUCUGCCCUUCCACCAUUAGGAUUGCCCUGCCUGAUGGGGCACCUGCAGUUGUUACAUUGUUGCAAACUAUCUUGUUUUCUUCCGAGAGCCAUGGUAUAGUCAGGACAGAAGCAGAGGAGAGAGAAGGGGAGAAAGAAAGCCAUAAGAGAGAAAGAGAAGCCCAGAGUGAAGAGUUGCUGGGGCAUGGAGGCCCCCCCAGAACCUCUGCCUGCCGUGUACCUGGUUGCUGCUCUAUAUGUAACAGCUCAAUAAAAGCCUUAGAAAGCCACUGAGGGCUCCAAGACUCUCCUUUACCGUCUGCUGGGUCAGAAAACCUGCUCAGAGUCCGUCCUGCCUCUACAAUCACCAAUCCAAGAGAUUGCCCGGCCUGAUGGGGCACCUGCAGUUGUUACGUUGGUGCAAACUGUCUUACUUACUUCUGUGGGCUGUGGGAGGAGUCACCAAGAGAGUAAAGAAGCAGAAGAAUCAGGUGAGAGAAGGAGAGAAAGAAGAAAGAAGCCAGAGAAGCCCAGAGUGAAGACUUGCCAAGGGCUUGGACACCUACCGGCUUCCUGGCCCCCCCAGCACCCCUGCCUGCCAUGUGCCUGUUUGCCACACUACAUGUAAAGCUCAAUAAAAACCUGAGAAAGCCACUGAGGGCGCCAAGUCUCUCCUUUACCCAUCUGCUGUAUCAUAGAAAACCUGCUCAGUGCCCAUCCUGCCACUACAGUCACCUUCCUCCUAUAAUUCCGAAACCCAAAAGGGGUGCCUUUUGGCUGCAGGUCAGAGAUGACCAAAAAGAGGUGCUUUUCCUGUCAUUCUCUUGCAGGUGGGUAAUGAGGCCUUCACUGCCUACUCAUCCCUGGACUGUGU